UGCCAGCCGCCGCGGUAAUACGAAUGGGGCAAGCGUUGUUCGGAAUCACUGGGCUUAAAGCGUACGUAGGCGGACAUGAAAGUCAGAAGUGAAAUCCCAGAGCUCAACUCUGGAACUGCUUUUGAAACUCCAUGUCUAGAAUCCGGGAGAGGUUAGUGGAAUUCCUAGUGUAGAGGUGAAAUUCGCAGAUAUUAGGAGGAACACCAGUGGCGAAGGCGACUAACUGGACCGGUAUUGACGCUGAGGUACGAAAGCGUGGGGAGCAAACAGGAUUAGAUA
rnacentral:rRNA from 1 species